AUUGACCAGUUAGACAGAAACCAGGAUGAAAAUCACUUAAUACAAUUCCCACUCAUUAUUCACUUCGGAAUCAGACCUGCUCAGCUCAGCUAUGCUGGGGAUCCCAAUUAUCAGAGAACCUGGAAACAAUAUGUCAAGUUCAAGCACCUGCUGAACAGUAAACCCAAGGUCACCUUUACAGACAAACAGAAACUGGAGGCAAAGGAGAAGUACCUACAGGAUCUUAGAAUGAAAAGUUCUAUGAAAAGAGAAGUCACUGUGGAGAUCAGUAGUGAAGGAUUCCUGAGAACAGGGAUUAGAUCUGACAUCACUCAGCAUGCUAUGCUGAUGCCUGUUCUACUGGGACACCUGAGAUUUCAUCUCUGUAUAAGACAGCUGCAGAAAGAAAUCAACUACCAAUUCAAAGACCCACAACUAUUGCAGCUGGCCUUGACUCAUACUUCAUAUAAAGUCAAUUAUGGAACUAAUCCCGAUCAUGCUAGAAAUUCCCUGUCAAACUGCGGGGUUCGUCAGCUUGAGUACGGAGAUCGAAAAAUCCACUAUGUCCAUACAAGAAAGAAAGGGAUCAACAUUCUAAUCAACAUCAUGUCCCGCCUCGGGAAGCAGGAUGAGUGUUCAUCAGAGAUUCCUCACAAUGAGAGACUGGAGUAUCUCGGGGACGCUGUGGUCGAGUUCAUCACAAGUGUUCAUCUAUUCUACAUGUUUCCUUACCUGGAGGAGGGUGGACUCACCACUUACCGAGCGGCACUCGUACAGAAUCAGCAGCUGGCCGUACUCGCAAAGAAGCUACACCUGGAGAACUACAUGCUUUAUGCCCACGGCCCUGACCUCUGUCACGAAUCUGACCUGAAGCAUGCCAUGGCCAACUGUUUUGAGGCACUGCUAGGAGCCCUGUAUAUGGAUGGAGGGAUUGACCUGGCAGACAAGGUGUUUGCGGAGACUCUGUUUAAGGAUGAGGAUAAAUACCUUAACAUCUGGAGGGACCUGCCCCUCCACGUCUUACAGGAGGAUGAGCCGGGGUCGGACCGCCACUGGGUCGAGUCCAGCCCCACCCUACAGAAAUUAGUGAAAUUUGAAGAGUCCAUUGGAGUAAAGUUUGACCAUAUUCGGUUGCUAGCCCGGGCCUUUACCCUGCGCAGUGUGGGAUACAAUCACCUAACACUGGGACAUAACCAGAGACUUGAGUUUCUGGGAGAUACAGUGCUACAGUUAGUGGCCUCAGAUUAUCUGUUUAAGCAUUUCCCUGACCAUCACGAAGGACAUCUUUCAUUAUUGAGGAGUUCUCUAGUCAAUAACCGGACUCAGUCCAUUGUCUGUGAUGACCUGGGCAUCUCUGAUUAUGUCAUCUUCUCUGACUCUAAAGGAGAAAAACAAGACAAGAAGACAAAAGAAAAGGCUGAUUUACUAGAGGCCUUUAUCGGUGCCCUGUAUGUCGACAAAGAUGUAGAGGUGUGCUACAAGUUCUGUGAAGUCUGCUUCUUCCCAAGGUUAAAGGACUUCAUCCUGAAUCAAGACUGGAAUGACCCCAAGUCCCAGCUACAGCAGUGCUGCCUGACCCUGAGGGAACUGGAUGGAGGGGAGCCAGACAUCCCAGUCUACAAGUGUAUAGAGUCUAUUGGUCCGACCAAUACUCGGCGGUACACAGUGGCUGUAUACUUCAGACACGAGAGGCUGGCCACUGGAAUAGGUCACAGCAUUCAACAAGCUGAAAUGGCCGCUGCCACUAAUGCUCUGAUGGAAAGAUCAGAACUGUUUCCAAUUCUUGCCCAUCAGAAACGAUUUCUGGAAAGAAAACACAAGAAAAAGCGAUCCAGCAGGAAAGGUGGGCGUGAUGAGGAUUCUGGCAAGGAUCAGUGGGGAGGCAGUGAGCGUAAAGAGAGCAAGGAGCAGGAGGAUCGGGGAAAGUCCGAGGGAGCCACGCCCUCCACUAACGAGGCCCUACCCCAGAAAGUGACCUCCCUUAUUGACUCCUUCAAGGAGAGAAAGAAAAAAACAAAUACCUGAAAUCUUGUAAUGAUGAUAUUCCACUGUCCCAGCUUGAUUUGCUCGCAUAAGUUUCAGUCUUAUUGCAGAGACAGAGGCUUUUUAUGUGUUCUUUUUGUGAUUUGCGUUUUGUAAGGAUGCAAUAAAGUUUUAUAUUGAAAAAACUAGUGCUAUAUUUGACAAAUAGAAUGCAUGAUUGAAGUACUAAUACAUGUGUAAAGUACAGAGUAUGUCAAUCUGACCGUUGAGUAAAUGAAACUAUAGGACUAAAUAUAUAAUGUGAUAUUAUGGGAUCAGAGAAAAUAAUUUUAUUUGUAAGAAGUGCUAUAUUAAUGUAUAUGUAAAUUAAAAUAAAUGGAAAAUUAU
rnacentral:misc_RNA from 1 species